rnacentral:rRNA from 1 species
GAUGAACGCUGACAGAAUGCUUAACACAUGCAAGUCCACUUGAAUUUGGGUUUUUAACUUAGGUUUGGGUGGCGGACGGGUGAGUAACGCGUAAAGAACUUGCCUCACAGCUAGGGACAACAUUUGGAAACGAAUGCUAAUACCUAAUAUUAUGAUAAUAGGGCAACCUAUAAUUAUGAAAGCUAUAAGCGCUGUGAGAGAGCUUUGCGUCCCAUUAGCUAGUUGGAGAGGUAACGGCUCACCAAGGCGAUGAUGGGUAGCCGGCCUGAGAGGGUGAUCGGCCACAAGGGGACUGAGACACGGCCCUUACACCUACGGGAGGCAGCAGUGGGGAAUAUUGGACAAUGGACCGAGAGUCUGAUCCAGCAAUUCUGUGUGCACGAUGAAGUUUUUCGGAAUGUAAAGUGCUUUCAGUUGGGAAGAAACAAAUGACGGUACCAACAGAAGAAGUGACGGCUAAAUACGUG